rnacentral:rRNA from 1 species
GAUGAACGCUGGCGGCGUGCCUAAUACAUGCCAGUCGAGCGAACGGACGAGAAGCUUGCUUCUCUGACGUUAGCGGCGGACGGGUGAGUAACACGUGGAUAACCUACCUAUAAGACUGGGAUAACUUCGGGAAACCGUAGCUAAUACCGGAUAAUAUUUUGAACCGCAUGGUUCAAAAGUGAAAGACGGUCUUGCUGUCACUUAUAGAUGGAUCCGCGCUGCAUUAGCUAGUUGGUAAGGUAACGGCUUACCAAGGCAACGAUGCAUAGCCGACCUGAGAGGGUGAUCGGCCACACUGGAACUGAGACACGGUCCAGACUCCUACGGGAGGCAGCAGUAGGGAAUCUUCCGCAAUGGGCGAAAGCCUGACGGAGCAACGCCGCGUGAGUGAUGAAGGUCUUCGGAUCGUAAAACUCUGUUAUUAGGGAAGAACAUAUGUGUAAGUAACUGUGCACAUCUUGACGGUACCUAAUCAGAAAGCCACGGCUAACUACGUG